GCUUCAGCUCAUAGGAAUGUGAUGUUAAACUUGAUAGUAAAGUCCUUGCCUCAUGCUGAGAGCAAUUUUGGUUAAUGACUUUAAUGAUCAGUGAAUUGUGUGGGUUAUUACUGUACACUGUGAAGUUAUGUGAAUAAAAAAUACAGCCAUUGUUUCUCAAUAUAAUGUUGCUAUUUUAAUUAUAUUUGAAGAGUGACCAAGGCUCAGGUCUUCAGAACCUGAAAUGGCGGGGGGGGGGGGGGGGAAAUGUGGUAAAAUUCUUGCUAACUUUUUACACAAAAGUAUGAGAAACCUUACUGCCAUAUUUACUUGUAGUCAUUAGCUUGUACAGAGACACAAGAACUACAAUUACAUGAGAUAAUGAAAUAAACACACACAGUGAGAGUACAUUCAUCUAGCUAACCUGAAAACAGAAAUAUCUCACACUGGCUGAAACUGAAAUGAAGACAGAAGCCAAAUAUUAGCAUUUUCAACCAUAUGCUGUCACUGUAGCUAUGAGAUAAAGUCAAGAAGAUAGAAAUAUGAAGACUUUCAUAAUGAGAUGUAGAUCCAAGUUUAGUUUGCAUCACUGAAACCUGUCUUCUUUAUUUAGGUUUUUUAUUUUGAGGGUUGUAUUCAUUAUUCUAAGAUAUUUUUUCCAUUUCCCUGUUGUUAAUUGAUCAGUAUUAUUGAUGGUCAGUUGAUGGUCAGAGGAGUUUGAUGUUAACCUGUCAAUUGCAACUCCUUUUAGUUCACCUUUAUCUCAUUUGCCGCUUGAUUCCUAUAAAAAGGAUUAUAUUCCAAACAUCUAUCAUCUGAUACAAGUUAUUUACCUUUUAGUAUAUCAGAUAAGAAUUUAGAAAACAUUCCAGUUUCUUUAAGGUGUAAAAAAAAGUCAAUGUAAAAUUGAAUUUACUUAUACUACUUUAAAACAUCUUUUGUUACCAAAAUUCCUGCUUUCUAAUGGUUUUAAAUGUGCAUAUCGGGAAGUGUACUAUUAACACAAGCAUCAUUAUCAUCACUUGAGUUAAAACUGUACAACUCUCUGAUGUAUUUUAAUGUGAAUGAUUUUUUCAGGUACUGCUAAAAAAACCCCUGUGCUUUUGUUCUCCAGUAGUUGGGUGCAGACUUACUUUUCUUUACUAUAAGUGUGGUUUUCAUCAGCGUGAAAAAACAAUCCACCUUAUUAGUGAAGAAUUCUUCUUUCACUGUGGUUUAGUAAAGGUUGUCAGGGAUUUAAAUUUGGACUGGAAUUGUUAACGUAUCUAAGAGUUGCAUGCAGCAGAGCUGUGCAAUAGAACUGUACGAAGUAAAAAUGUGCCUCCUAGUGUAAGGAAGGGGAAAAAUUCAUUUUCAUGAAAAUGCUUGAUAAAUCACAUUUUGAUAGCUGCAAGCUGUGGAUGUGAUUCAUUUUUCUUCAAAGAGAUAAAGAGGAAUAGCAUAUAUUUAGUGGAGUGUUAGAACUGCUCUAGGGAGAAAGUCUACUGCACACUGUGGAUGAAUCUAUGCAAUAAUUCCAGCGGUUAAAAACCAGACAGAAAUAUAAUAUUUAUGUCUUCUGAUACAUGUUUACAAAGCUAAGUAAAUGUUUUCCCAAUUUCUACAUCUUAUUAAUAAGUAGUAUCAAUACAUAUCAACAAAUUAAUAGCUUCAUAAAAACAUGAAGCUGUAGCAAAGACUGUAAUACACCCACCAGUUUCAAGAUCAUGUUUUUAUUUAGCAAAAUUAAAUAGAACAUUCUACUAUGUCCUAUGUUACUUCAAAAGCAAUUCCAUAUUCUUGGAAGUAAUGUUAUAAUGCUGUAUUUCAGUAAUAAUGUUUGUGGAUUGCUUUUUUAUUUCCAGUACAAUAAAAACUGUGUGGUUAAAUUUGGCUGAUAAAUACCAGUUUAAUAAACCUAAUACUGUGGCAGUCUAGUCAAGUAAUGUCAGGGGUGUUAAAUGGUACUCUAAUUCCAGUAAUAAGUAGGAAUAUCUCUGCGGCAGUGGUUUAAUUAUGAUUAAAGUUCAGAGUAAUGGCAAGACUGCCUUGUAUUAGACUUGGUCAUAUGAUAGUGUCCCAGGUGGAGAAGCUAAGCCUCUCCUGCAAAGAGCUUUGGUUUUACAGUGUCACUAUCAUUACACCCAGUGGGUGAUGAUGGUUUAACCUUGAGGGCAUACCCUCUGCUUAAUCCUGUCUUUCAUUUUACUGCCUCCAAAGUUUCUUCUUUGGCAAUAUUGGAGUAGUCCAUAGCUAAACAGCCUAAGGUGUAGAAAAAAAUGCUACAGUAAUAAUGCCUAGAUCUAGAUAAUUUACUGUCCAUAGUCAUUCUUGUGUUUUCAUAAUAUGAGACUAGAACUAAAAUAGGAACAUUUGCCUUUGAGUCAUAGCCUCCAUUUCAUUAAACACGAGUUCAUACCUCACUUGGAAUCUAACACUGUCACAUUUAGCUGCAGGCAAGCAGGAGUAAGAAAAACUGGAGUCAGGUUGGUGAAUUAGCCUACAGAAAAGCUAUAAAAUAGUCUGAAGUCUGAAUUCAAUCUUAGCCCAUGCACUUAUGACUUUAAAAAGAUAAAUAAAAUCUGAGAGGCAUAAGAAGAUUGCUAUCUCUUUACAUCUCUUUGAUGCCUCAUUGCAGUGAGGAUUUAAUUGUCUUGGUUUAGAAAAGCCACUGUGCUACAUGUGUUCCUAUUCUACUCUCCUUUCGUCCACACACCAAAGCUAACUGGAGUGUAAAUCAGGAGGCCAUAACCAUUGAAUGAGCAGGGGAGCUUGUCUCAUUGCUUCUCUAAGAGGAACAGAUAACUUUCCAAAACUUUCUAGCUGCUGCUGCCUGAGAAGAGCACUUGCAAGUCCUCAGCAGUGAGAUGAAAAGGCUACAUGGGGCAGGGGGACUAUGACAAGGGUUGGAGGAUUAAAGGAAUGGGAAGCUUGCAUGUGAGAUGAAAGAUGAUGCCUUUGGCUGCCAUCUCUGAUGAUACCAAGGACAGUUUAAAACCUCAGAUGCUUUUGCCAGGUUAAAACAAGGGACUUAAGGAAUUAAGAGCAAUUUUUCUCCUGUAAGUAUUUUCUACUCACAAGGCCUUUCUUCAUAUCAUGACAAACCCAGAUCUACUGAAGACAUUCACAGACUUUUUAAAGUUUCAAAGUAAUAUUAUUAUCCAGUCAAACCUCUACCAUAGCAUAAUGCUUAGUGUUUCACUCAACUUUCCUUAAAUCAAACUGAGGUUUUAAAAUAUUCCAGUGAUAAAAUAGUCCAGUGAUUUAUUUUCAGUGGUGUUUGAUUACAUGUUUUAUAUGGGUUUACAUGGCAAGGUUAUGGGUAGGGGGGCUGCAGAGGGUGCCUCUUUGAGAAGACACUAGAAGCUUCCCCCCAUGUUUGACAGAGCCAGUUCUCAGUGGCUCUGAAACAGAUUCAUUGCUGCCCAAAGCUGCACAGCAGCUGGGGGGAAGGAGAAAGAAAAACGUUAGAAAAACAAACCUGCAGAUACUAAGGGCCAUGAUGAAGGAGGAAGAGAGCACAAAAUAGAUUCCUCUCAGCUUGUGGAGAAGGUGGUGCCCCCAGCAGCCCAUGGAGGACCCCACCCUGGUAGGUGGGGGCCAGGUAGGUAUGCUUCCCUGAAGGAAGUUGCAGUCCAUGAAGGGCACAUGCAGGAGCAGGAACUGUGGACCCUAGGGAACGCACUCUGGAGCAAUCUUGUCUUGAAGGCUCACACAUUGUGGAAGGGACCCACGUAUUGCUGGAAAAGGACCACAUGUUGGCCAGGGUAUGAUGAGGACAAAGCAGCAGAUACAAAGUUUUAGCGACUGGCUGCAACUCAUAUUCAUAUCCCUUAACACCACUUAGUGACAGGAGCAAGGUGGGGAGGAGUCAGAAGAGGAGGGCUUGGAAAAAUGAAUUUGAGCCUGGGAAGAGGGAAGGGUUGGGAAGUGGGAAAGGUGCUUUUAGUUUUGUUUUUCUUGUUUCUUGCAAUUCUACUUGAGUUUUUAUUGAUGAUAAAUUAAAUUUGUCUUGCCCUGGCUGUCAGUUCUGCCAGUGACGGUACCUAGCCGGCAGCAGUGUGUGGCAGCAGUGCCGAUCGUGAUCCAGGGAGGCCACCACCAGCAGCAGGAAAAUCUGAGGAGACAAGUCUGUUGUUUAGCAGGGCAGCCUAUGUUAUUUCACCCCCGCCCCUCCACCCCGUGCCGGGGGAGCAGGGGCCCAGGAGCCUGAGGAAAGCCCAGAGAGUGCAGAGCUGAGAGCAGAGCAGAGAUCGAGCAGACCCAGGGCCCUGGGGUUUUAUCAGGUGUCCCAUGGGAGGAGUCUUGCGGUGGCUCCCUGCCACGGCCUCGGGCAGAUGGGAUGAGCCGGCUGGCACUGCCCAUGUGAGGCCGGGUGGCCACCACGAGAGAGGCACCCCAGGGGACGGUGUCUGCCACCCUGGUGGUGCUGAGUGCUGCUCGUGGGCGCGCAGCUUUGGUAGCUCUGCACGCUGAGAGGAGGUGAAGGGUUGAGAGAAGGACAAUUGUCUGCCAGCCCAAAGAGUCUAUUUUCCCUGGGUGGGGCAAGUACAAGGUGCUCUCUGAGUGGGUGCAGGAGCAAAUGCCAAAGAAAUCAAAGAUUGCAACAGCUUAAGUAGGGGGUGGACAGACGGGUGCAAACCUGACUCACCAAUGAGGGUAAACCAAAAAGGGAUGACACCAAUUACAACAACCUGUGAUAACGUAACAGGGGUAAGCACAAGGUCAGGGGACAAAUAGAAAAGCCAAACUGUGAUGAUUGAUACAGAAAUUUCUGGAAGAACCUGGGGGUGGUUACAGGAUUGACAACCAAAAGGGUAUAAACAAACUCAGAUUGAUGGAACCAAAUGAGAAAACAGGGAGAGGUGAGAAGAUUGACAGAUAACUGGGGAACCAAGUGGCAGGAACUUUUGGGGUAAAAAACUUGGAUCAAACCAACUGUGAGGGGGAAAAACGGGGGAACAUAAAGGCUAAGUAACAUUGAUAAAACCACACCGCAAUAAGAGUCUUAAAAUCAGAUUACAGCCUCCUCAGAACUGGAAGGGUCCACACUAGCCAGUGAUCUCCCUGUCCUUAUCUCAACCCUUGAGCUUUUUCGUUUCAUCUUCUUCCCAUCUUGUUGAGAAGGGGGGGGGGGGGGGGGGGGGGGGUGGUAGAGCAGCUUGGUGAGCACCUGGCAGCAGCCAAGGUUAACCCACCAGAGUAUUAAAGCUGGUGUUGUAUUCUCAGUCUGAAAGCAUGUAUUUUCAGUUUCUACCCCUUGUCUGUUUUACUGUACCACUGUUCAUCAACAUGAAGUCUGUGACUUCCAGAAGUGCAAGUAUAUUUGGGGACCCAAUGGAAUUUUUUGACUAGUACAGGAUCCUGCACAAUACAAAUGAGAAAUCCUAAGCAAUAACCUAAAAAAGCAUGUGUCUUCUGCUGGUAUCUACAGCAUAUGUUACAAAAUGAUUUCUUGAUUUAAUGAUCUUGAUUUAGUGACAGAGGAAAUAGUACUACAUUGCUUACUGAUGUCAACUGAAUCCGGUUUUUAUUUGAUAAAAGGAGUUUUUGGUGUCCAUAGUUCAGAUGGUGUGCUCAAGUCUUCUUGAAUCUGCAUUACAGAGGUUAAUUUGUAGUAGUAUUUUGAACGUUGCAACAUUUUUUUCUUAAGCAUUUUUUUCCUUUCUAUAUAUUAAUACUGGUCGGUCCAAUGCCUAUCCAGUAAAAAAAAAAACAAAAAAAACCCCAGAAAAAAAAAACAAAAAACAACCAAACAAAAAAAACCCCACAAGUCUUCUAAACUGCAGAGUUUUAAAAUCAGUUUUUCUCUUUAACAGUCAUUGUUUUGACCUGAGUGUUUUUUGGGGCUUUUUUUCUGCCGUAUAAACAUGAUGUGUAUUUGUAAAAAGUACUGGUAACAGUAACUUUUUCAGCAAUAAAACAGAGACUGACUACUAUUUAAAGACUUUCCACAGGAAAUUAAAGUCAAAAUCACAAUUGAACACAUGUAUCUUUAAUCAUCAUGAAAUGUAUUUGAAAAAUUAUUUUAGCAUUCUACAUGCUCUAUCACCUAGCUGUAUUUAUCACAAUUCACCUUUUAAAAGUGUGAUAGUGUGAUUAUGGCAGAAAUAUUUGUUUGAUAUUUUUGAGGUUGGUGUUUCCAAAUUCAGUGAAAGUUAUUGCUGACAACUGUGACUCCUUGUUACCUUGAAAUGACAACUAAUUUCCCAGUGUUACAUAUUUUUUAUGAAUGGAGUCUUAGCAGUGCAUCUUCUAUUCCCAAUGGCAAGCUGACAAAAAGAAAGGUGAUAUUUGUUAGAAUAAAGUGUUGAAGUUAGCAUGGCAUUUUUAAUUUCAGCCUUUAAGUGGUUACAAAUUUUAAGUAGAAUUAGAAUUGUUGAUGGCUGCAGUGAGAGGAAUAACUUAAUGCAUGAAAAAUAACCUCAUUGCACCCACACAGACUUGGGCUUAAGAACUAGAAAACAACUUUACAGUGGGAGAACUGGGAGUCCUCAUGGAUAGCAAAUUAGCCAUGAGCCAGAAAGACACCCUUGAAGAAAAUAAAUCAGUCUCCUAACUACAAUAGAAAAGGUGCUGCCAGCAAGCUGUUGGGAAAGAUCCUUUCUCUCUACUCAGCACUGGUGUGACACUAUUGAAGUGCCAAGUCCAGUGCUGGUUUUUCCAGUCUGGAAGGAAAAUAGAAAUAUGGACUGAGUACAGAAAAGGACCACAAAGAUUAUUAAGGUAUUAGAGCAUCUGUCACAUGGAGAGAUGCUGAGAGAACUGUGACUGUUCAUCCUGGAGAAGGGAGAGGCUUAGGAAGGAUCUAAUUAAUGUGUGCAAAUACCUGAUGUGGUGCAGGAAGGAGAGCAGAGAGAGAGCCAGACUUUUCUCAGUAGUGUACCAAAUCAAAGAAAGGACACUGGGCACAAACUGAAAUACAGACAAAUUUUAUUUAAACAUAAAGAAGAAAAAUUCACCACAUUUUCUUGCUAUCGGAACAAUACAAAUCUGCACCAAGUUUCGCAGAGAGAUUGUGGCAUCUUCAUGGAUAUUUUGGAAAUCAAACAGGCCAUUUCUAUAGCUGAGUCAUGGUAACUCCCUGAGUUGAGCAGGAAGGUGUGAAUAAAGCCUCUCCAGACUUCCCUUUCAAGUUUAACCAUUCUAUGAUUCUGAAAUCCUAUUAAUUAAUUAAAUUUGUCUUCCAUAGACUGUGCAAUACAGAUGUGAAGAAAAAAAAA
ensembl:lncRNA